UCCGAUUACACGAAGAUGAGCGUGCUCAGGGAAAGGGCCGACCCGCUUCUUGUUCACCACGGCGCUGUCGUCGGCCACACGAAGGACAAGGCGGACCUAGACGAGUACGGCUAGGGGCCUCGCUGCUGCGGCCUCCGCAACCAUAGACCCAAUCACUUAGGGAAGGAUAAAUCAACAAGAACCAGUUUUUAGAUUAGAUCGCUCGAGCGGGGCCAGCGGCCACGAUGUCUAGCUAGAACCGACGAUCCCUACGUCACCGCGUACUCCGCGGCACGCAAAACCCGCCCCCGCCGCUGCGACACGGGCUAAGCCGGCGACCGAGCAGGCUAAGCCGGCAGCCUGGCCAGAGCGGCCCGCACGCAGUCAACCUAGUUCCCCACCCGAACCGACUACCGUUCAAAAGGCCCCGCAGGACGUUGUGGAAGUCGAGACCUCCGCCAGGCAGCUCAGCCCGCCGGCGUCACCGCGCCGCCUAAGCACGUGCUGUAAGUCAAGACCCCCGCACCGCUGCUCAGCGGCCGGCAGCAGAGCUCGACGUGUUACGUCAGGGAUGCAGUGUCGCCGGGCCGAAACCGAUUGUGGUGGUAGGCGCAUCCGACCUUCGCCUCCAUGUACGAUUAACACGACAGCGGAACCCGUUUAGACAUAAAUGAACUAGCGUAAGCAUGCUCGACUACUCUCUUCAAAGUGAUCAAACCGGUUUAACCCCUAUUUCUGACCGCGAGUUAGUAGGGACCGACUUUUCAAGAAUCAUCGAUAGGAAUUCGGCAUGGCGUAGCAAGCAAACCACUUUUAAUAGUAACGGUGACGUAUUUUUUUGCCAAAUUCAAGGCAACUGUCUAUUACUAACUUAACGACGACGACCCUUGGUCAACUUAACAUACCUAUUCAAUGAAACAGGUUUUAAAAGUCAGGGAUUUGACCAAUAGGUAACCGUACAACCGUAAUAACUCACAAGUUUGUUACGUUCCCCCUCCUACAUGAAUCACGUCAGGUUAAGCAUCUUCAAACCACCGAAAAAAAGGUCGUCAGACUUACAUACUAUACCCCUUCUUAUUUCAGACUUAGUUAGUACGGCUUUUUCCUAGGAUUUAGCUAAAAACAUUAAUACUUGGAUACAACGUCGUCAAACACCAGAAAAAUAAGACGAUAGGCACCAUCAAUAAAAAGUAUUGAUACAACAAACACGAAAAGCUUUGCGUCCGGUUCUCCAGGAGCACGCGGUCUGCUCUCCCGACAUCAUCGACUGGCACAAGGCGGUAACCUUCGACGAUAAUCUCCUAAGCGACUAUCCCCCUGACUACACCCGCAGUUGGGCCACGAACCGUGAUAAAAACUAAGCGACCAUCUCCGCAUACUUAAGAUAUUAGAUAUAAGUACCCUCCAGCCGAAACCCUAAGCAAUGCCGUUCUCGUCCGUUUUACAGUUACCCUGUAGAUCAGGAGCAGAGCCGCGUGGAGCCCGUGUCCUAGUUACCGUCGUCACCGCCCCCCGACGCCUCUGCUGCGCGUCUUCUACUCGAGACCCUGUGGAACCGUGCCGCCGCAGCUACCUAGUGCCGUUGAUCGACACGAACACACGAACAAACUUGCUCUUGCAGGUUUUGUUAGCCAUGACCCUGUUGCCGACCACGUACCCGGAAUUUAUGUACGUAAACCCCAUUUCACAAAUGUAAUGUGUAAACAAGCAGCGUUGCCAUUAUAACACAGGAAGUAGGACGCGCGCGUUUCACGAGGCGUCCACACGCAGUCAGCGGCCAGUCACGCGCUAUGUGGCUUAUAUCGUUAUGCUUUGUGUCGCGAGCGAAACCGGCGAGAUAUGCGGUUCAUCGUGAACGUCGACCAGGUUUAGCGCUUCGUCAUGGUCGGCACCUACGCGACGCACGUCGGGACGUGAAGAGUACAUUUCAGCACAAUAGAAGUCACAAUAUGAAGAGAAAGAUCACUUAGUGUGCAACGGGGUUAGGAGGGCUCGCUGCCUGUCUAUAAUUCCGGGACAAACAAAUUAUUCAGUAUCCUGAAAAAAUUCAGGGUUGAAUAUUCAGUAUUCAGGGAUGGACAAACAAAUGUAGCUGAAUAUUCAGGGCUCAGGGACGGACAAACAAAUGUCCCUGAAUCCGGGACAAACAAAUUAUUCAGUAUCCUGAAAAAAUUCAGGGUUGAAUAUUCAGUAUUCAGGGAUGGACAAACAAAUGUAGCUGAAUAUUCAGGGCUCAGGGACGGACAAACAAAUGUCCCUAAAUAUUCAACUAUUUUGUGAACAAGUGUAUUGGGAAAAAGUAUGUUUGCUUAAUGUCUUAUCACUGUUGGCUUUAUUGUGAACAAGUAUGUUUGCUAAUUGUGAACAACUGC
rnacentral:rRNA from 1 species